UCGUGGCGGCCUCCGCGCCUUGCGGAUUUGCGGCCCGACCCUCUGCACAGGGGGUGAGCCUGGAUGGGACGAGGCUUGAGGGAAGGAAGGGCGACCGUCGCGGCCCCCACGGAAGGCAGCCUUUCUACCUUUUUUCUUCCAGACUUAUUGACAUAAAAUGAGAAAUACAACGUUUGACAACUCGAAGCCAGCCUGGGGGCACAUUCCGGCAAAAAGUGGAAACCAGCAAAGCCAAGGACAGAGAGGUCUUCAGGGAAUACAUGGCUAUGUGGUUUGAAGACUCCCAUUAGAGAGUGGAUAUUAAUUGCCCUCCUUUUGAAUAUGGUCUGGACUUAGUGAUUUGAUUGUAACAAAUAGAAUACAGCAGAUGUGAUGCUAUGUGACUUCCAAACCUAGGUCAUAAAAGGAGACAAAGUUUUCACCUGGCUCUCCCUUGGGACACUCACCUUUGGAACCCAGCUGCCAUAUUGUGAGGAAGCUCAAGCCACAGGGAAGCCCAUGUGUAGGUGUUCGGGCUGAUGGUGCCAGCUGAGGACCCAGUCUACUGCCAUACAACUUAUACCAGGCAUGUGAGUUGGCGAGCUUUUGAAAGAACUCUGACUGACCACGCUGCCUGAGAGACCUAGAGAGAAAACCUUGCUGAGCCAAGUCAGGCUCCGGGAACAUAAAUAACCCGCACCUCUGCCUACUUUCCUUACUCAAGUCUUUGAUGAUAUCAUCUUUUCAGAAGAGGCAGGUGCGGCACCUCUGGAACCUACAUUAACUCUCCCAGCAGACAAACAGACACAUUUCUUUCACAAGAGCCACCUCCCUUCUAAUGGAGAAGUCUGUUGCUCUUGGUGUUCCCUGGCCUGCCACACCUACGCUGUGUGGCCUGGAGUUGUACCCCAGUGUGCUCCAAUAGCAUUUCUUCCACCUGCCUGGCAUGGAACUGGACCACCUGGCAUUGCUCUCCUACAGCUACCUGGCUUCUCUGCUAUCAUCGACUGCAUGAUCCUGCCCAGGAGAGUAACAAGGAGUAAUCCAUCCCCAAGUGCUGCCAAAUUGGCUCCAUCCCAUACCCAUGUUCUUCAGAAUCUGGUCACACUGGUUAAUAGGAGCAGUAACAAUGGUUCACACAUGCAACAAUGGAUCCACUUGCAAAAUAUGUUCAACACAGGCUGUGCAAUAACAUCCAAACAUCUGAAUCCUAAGUGUGAAUUCCAGUUCAACAGCACAGACAUUUAAAAUCUAAUGCCUAAAGUCAGAUUUUAGGCAUCUGAUUUUAAUCAUCUUGGGGUAGUGGAGGUUGCAGUGAGCUGAGAUGGUGCCACUGCACUCCAGCCUGGAUGAAAGAGUGAGAUCCACUUUCAAAAAAAAAAAAGGUAUGUCCUAUGUCCUCCAAUAUGUGGUACAAUGUUAAAAUUAAUUGUAAAUCUCUUCAGAGUGUUUCAAGCAAUCCCUUGGUCAGGGACUUCCCUCAACAUACAUAUAUAACACCCAAAGGGCAUGCCUAACCAGGACCACAGGGAAUAGAUGAAGCCAAACUUAAGUUUCCUCCUUCUGCAUGGUAGAGAAACCUUAUAUAUCAAAAGCAAAUUAUUACACUUUAACAUAGAAGAUUAGAGGAACACAGCACCCUUUUAACAGAACCACAAAUGAAGUAGAAUUUCUGAGAAUAAGAUUGGCUAAGCUUAUUGAAAAUAUAGACUCCAGACUUUGUUUUUUCACUAAACUAUAUAAGGCAAAACAAAGGAGGAGAGUGGUGAUAAAGGGUGGGGAGAAGGGGAGAGGAAAGUCAGGAGAACUGUAUGAUCAUCACUGUUCUACAGAACCAAUCAUAAAUCCAUUGUUCUCAAGGAAACCAAUUCACUUAAGUUGCCUGAUUAUUCUGAUAGCAGGUAUAGCCAAGUAUAACUAAAGCCUAAUACACCUAAAUGAGUGUUUUUCAACAGAAGCAUAAAAAAUGUGUUUAUUAUCCUGACAGGUUCCCCCACCCCCCCAGUGCAGUGGUCCUAUUCUAAAUCUCAUUUUUUAAUUGAGUGCUUCAGACGUUGAAGGUUGGGCCAGUCAGUCCCAUAAGACAGGGAACGGGGUGGGCGGAGCUCCCAAGAGAAGCCUUCUUUGUUGCUUCUCACAUUGUGCAUGUCCUAAUCCCAGUGCAGACAGGACCAGAGCCAGGAAGAUUUGUACUACCUGUACUACCUGUGGUUAUUGACUAGCUUAUGAUUGUGCUUUUUGUUUUGUUUUGUUUCUCUCUAUCUUUCUUUUUCUUUUUUUUUUUUUUUUUG